rnacentral:rRNA from 1 species
GUAGGGGUCCAAGCGUUAAUCGGAAUUACUGGGCGUAAAGCGUGCGCAGGCGGGGUUGUGCAAGACCGAUGUGAAAUCCCCCGGGGCUUAACCUGGGAAUUGCAUUGGUGACUGCACGGCUAGAGUGUGUCAGAGGGGGGUAGAAUUCCACGUGUAGCAGUGAAAUGCGUAGAGAUGUGGAGGAAUACCGAUGGCGAAGGCAGCCCCCUGGGAUAACACUGACGCUCAUGCACGAAAGCGUGGGGAGCAAACAGGAUUAGAUACCCUGGUAGUCCACGCCCUAAACGAUGUCAACUAGUUGUUGGGGAUUCAUUUCCUUAGUAACGUAGCUAACGCGUGAAGUUGACCGCCCGGGGAGUACGGUCGCAAGAUUA